CCUACGGGAGGCAGCAGUGGGGAAUAUUGCGCAAUGGGCGAAAGCCUGACGCAGCGACGCCGCGUGAGGGAUGAAGGCCUUCGGGUUGUAAACCUCUUUCAGCAGGGACGAAAUCAGACGGUACCUGCAGAAGAAGCACCGGCCAACUACGUGCCAGCAGCCGCGGUAAUACGUAGGGUGCAAGCGUUGUCCGGAAUUAUUGGGCGUAAAGAGCUCGUAGGCGGUUUGUCGCGUCGGCUGUGAAAACUCGGGGCUCAACCCCGAGCCUGCAGUCGAUACGGGCAGACUAGAGUGCUGUAGGGGAGACUGGAAUUCCUGGUGUAGCGGUGAAAUGCGCAGAUAUCAGGAGGAACACCGGUGGCGAAGGCGGGUCUCUGGGCAGUAACUGACGCUGAGGAGCGAAAGCGUGGGGAGCAAACAGGAUUAGAUACCCUGGUAGUCCACGCCGUAAACGGUGGGUGNGUAGUGUAGUGUAUCACGCGAUCUGUGCGCNGCUACGCAUAGACACCCCGCCGUCGGGAGGUACGGCCGGCCGACGGACGUAAACCUACAAACUAGAAGUUAGUACGGCGUGAGACGUGCCGACGGACGACGACGAGGGAGGUUAGG
rnacentral:rRNA from 1 species